CCUACGGGAGGCAGCAGUGAGGAAUAUUGGUCAAUGGGCGCGAGCCUGAACCAGCCAAGUCGCGUGAGGGAAGACGGUCCUAUGGAUUGUAAACCUCUUUUGUCGGGGAGAAAAUGACGCCACUCAUGGCGGUCCGAAAGUACCCGAAGAAAAAGCAUCGGCUAACUCCGUGCCAGCAGCCGCGCUAAUACGGAGGAUGCGAGCGUUAUCCGGAUUUAUUGGGUUUAAAGGGAGCGUAGGUGGGUUGUUAAGUCAGUUGUGAAAGUUUGGGGCUCAACCGUAAAAUUGCACUUGAUACUGGCAGUCUUGAGUACAGUAGAGGUAGGCAGAAUUCGAGGUGUAGCGGUGAAAUGCGUAGAUAUCACGAAGAACUCCGAUUGCGAAGGCAGCCUACUAAACUGACACUGACAUUGAUGCGCGAAAGUGUGGGUAGCAAACAGGAUUAGAUACCCGUGUAGUC
rnacentral:rRNA from 1 species